ensembl:lncRNA
GAAACAAGCUCUCUGUUGUUUGCCUCUGACUUUAACUUUGUCAAUUAAUGUCUUGUUGAGCUGUGCUUUCAACAUUGUGGGUUCUGAAUCAUUAAGGAAAUAUUCGGCCGACAUUUGUUUUUACUGGAGCUUCUUGGACUGUGGAUGGCCUGUGCCUUCGGAUGACGAAGAGGUUUUGGGAUCAGCUGAGAGAAGAGCCAUGAUGUCCUGCAUAGCCUUACUUAUCUGAACUCCAGAGUCCUGGGAGGGGAAAAAACGAAAAAAUAUAAUGGAUGCCUGGGCUGGAAAGAGUCCUCACAUUCUACUCUCAAAAAUUGGUGCUUACAAAUUAUUCUACUGGGAUAUCCAACAAAUUGGUCCGGAGAUGGAGUUGGAAAGUGAGAUCAAACCCAUGGAGCAUGAAGUCAUUCUGGGAACUGUAAAUGAACAUCAUCACUGGACGUUAGUGGUCAUUUACCCACAAGAAAAGAAGUCGCUGUAUCUUGAUCCACUCGGAGAAACUAAACAAGGUAUCCAAAAUUGUUUGGAAUCAACAAGGUAAGGAUAAAUGUUGAAAUUUAUUUUGACCCUUUUUUAAACUCUUUGUUGCUGUUGUUAUUUUUGUGUUUAUUAUGACAAUUAUAAGUAUGAUGUCAAUCAAAAAAAAAAUGGUACUCACAAUUAAAAAACUAGCAGUAACAGUUUUAAAUGUUUGUGUUGGCCUUCUGAUAUUGUGGUGUUAUGGGUUAAUUUUGCCUUUAAAGAGAAGUCUCCCCAUGUUUCAAUGUUUAUUUGAGGACCUGAUGUCUGUAUGAGAUGUUUUUACAUUAGAAAAUAGAGCACGGGGAGAAUAAUGUUUAGUAGUUGCAUAAAGUGUUGUGGAGGUUUAGCAAUAAAACAUCAGACAAAUGUCUAAAAUAAUUUCACAUAGGUUAUACAUGUGUGAAUUUCAUCUUUGCUCCUCCUCCACAUCUCUUCAAAGUGUACUGUGUAAGUGAUUGAUUUCUAUAUCAUGGGCCGAAACAGGGGAAAAAAGCACAAGUAAUUGUUCACGGAAAUGCAUUGUAGACUUUUAAAAAGUAAUGAUUUUAACAAAACAGUGUGGUCAGUGUUCCUAACUUGAUGUUCAACAGACACUUAAGCUCUCCAUACUGUUCGCCUUUUUGUGUCACCAAAAUUUUACGAUAUUAGCCUAUUUAGUCAUCUUAGAAUCUCUUUUUCAGUUUGCUGAAAAGAUCUUGCGAAAAGAGUCAGUAGACUUUCCGUCUACAAAAAAAGGCCAGAAACACACACAGGCUGCAAAUUGCCACCACUCCUCUCCUAGAGACAGGUAACUCAUUUUCCACCAUUCAGUGUUCAGACAUCGUGAAUAUUUUCAUCAUGAUGGCUGUAGAAACAAACCAUAUAGUUGUUUGAAUGAACUAAUAAGUGCAGUAGGUAGUAUACUCUAUGUGCAAUUUUUCACUUUUUAAAACAGAUGACUUGACAAACAUCUGUCAUUUCUGCGGGGAAGAAGAGCAUGCAACUGACAACAAAUGGGUAAUGACAUCAAGAAAGACUGCUAAAUGUUAUGAUCAAUUCCCAUAAAUGAAAUUUUAACAUUGGGAUUUUUAAUUAUUUAUUUUUUUACAGAUUUAGUGUGAGAUGUGUUUGCGGUGGUUCCACCAGCUCUGCGUGAAAAGCCCACCACCAGAAGAUGUGUUUAUUUGUUUCGCUUGUACAUAGUUGACACUAAAGGUCCACAGCUAGUGUUCUUAUGGCACACAUUGUUGAGAACACAUAUCUACAUAUAUAGAUGUAGAUGUUAAAUUAAGAAGUCUAAAAAAAGAAAAUGGUCUCCAAAGUUAUUUGUCACGGUCGGACGGUUCUUUCCCGACGACCCUGCUUGUGUUUAUGUUUUCUGUGUGUGUGUGUUUGCUUCUCCCUCCCUGGUCCUCGGGGCUGUUUACGGAAGUGCGCGCCAUGGGAGAGGCGUGUCCUGGCGACUGUCGUCAUUGGGAGUCCCUCUUCGCUGUUGUCGGCCCACCUGCAGCUGAUUACCGGACCAGCCGUUGGUAAUCAUUCCUCCCGGCUAGAAAGGGGUAUUUAACCUGGACUCGCGGCGACAGUCGACAUGGGAUUAUUACUCCGAACUGGAGGGGCAAGCGGAGAAGCGAGUUGGGGAGCACACACACUAAGGGAGUUACAACAUGGAACGCACUGGGAGCAAGGGACGAGCAUGAUUGGAAAAUUGCACUUUUGAGUGAAUUGUAGGACUUGUCUGUCUGUUUCACUGUAAAUAAACGCACUGUGUUUCUGUGAAGAAGAACCGCGCCUGGGUCCCUCUUUUCCGUGACAUUAUUGUAGUUAUUAGCUAUAUGACUUAUUUUGCAAAUAUACCCUUUGUGAUAGCAACGCCAAUAUGGAU